UACGUAGGGUGCGAGCGUUAAUCGGAAUUACUGGGCGUAAAGCGUGCGCAGGCGGUUUUGUAAGCCAGAUGUGAAAUCCCCGGGCUUAACCUGGGAAUGGCAUUUGGGACUGCAAGGCUCGAGUGCGGCAGAGGAGACUGGAAUUCCUGGUGUAGCAGUGAAAUGCGUAGAUAUCAGGAGGAACACCGAUGGCGAAGGCAGGUCUCUGGGCUGACACUGACGCUCAUGCACGAAAGCGUGGGUAGCAAACAGG
rnacentral:rRNA from 1 species